AAUCAAACCCUUUGUUUUCUCUUUGCUUCUUUCUUUUCCGCGCGCGCCGACCGUGCGCACUGCGCAGUAGAAGGGAACUUCGUUUUUUUUCUUUCCGUCUCUUUGGCGCCUGCGUCGGCAGAACUUUGUUGCUUUUUUCGCUUUGCGUGGGCGCAAGAGAGUAAGCAACAAUUAGCGCUGUGAUUUAUUGAAAAAUCUAUAAAUUAUCUAUUAUUAUCAGUAUGGAAAAUACACCCACGCAAAAAAUGAAGCGCUUUAUCUUGGAUGCAGAGCGUAAAACCUAUGCCAAAGGAACAGCCAAUAUCGCGUAAUGUACAUGUAUUUUUAAUUACUUUACGCACUAUAUUAGAGCAGAGCAACGUAUAAUUGCUGCAUUUAAAAAAGAAAUUGUCGAACUAAAAUCAAAAAUUGACGUUCUAACGGAAGCUGUGGCGGAGGCGGUGACCCUUAUUAUAUUGCAAGAUAAAAAAAAUUACGGAACCUAGUGGGGACGAGACCAUCUAUGUCCAACUGCCUAAGAAAAGUGCUGCACGAGAGGCUGAUGUUGGCGUAUUAUUUGGAUGAAGCCUCGGAAGAAGUUUCAAGAAAUCGGCGGUAAAGUUGAAGAAUGAAAGAUCAAAAAACCCAGAUGAAUAUUAAAUUUUCUUGAAUUUAACAGAUUGAAAAAC